AGAAUCUGUUGCUCCUCUGAAACAGCUGAGUUUUUGAUAAAAUCCUGGGUUGAGUUUUACUUCUUUAAGGUAAAACUUCUUGUUCUUUUCAGAUGUUUUUCCUGCAGGAAAUGACUCCACAGGAGACUUCUUCUCCAAUUCUUCCUUUCUGGCUGCAGGAGAGAAUGACUUUGUGGUGAACACAACAUCAUCUAACCGCAGUGAUGCGGGUGAUGUCAUCACGCCAACACCAGGAGCACCGUUCCUGCCGCCGCAUGCUGGUCUGAAUGAAACGGGUGUGGAGGAGGAGCUGGAGCAGGAGGAGCUGGAGGAAGAGCGGAUCGGUCCAAGUGUUUCUGCUGUCGGUUCCGAUCCAGCCGUUCCCAUUGGGUCACCUCUGACCCCGGCUGAACCUCAGAUCAGCCCCAAGAUGAAAGCAUCUGCUCGCAAGAUCCAGCCAGAGUCAUCUGAAGAAGAGGAGGAAGAGGAUGCUGCUGCUGAGGAGGAGAAGAAUCAACAGGAUACAUCUGAUGAAGUUUCUCCAACCUCCUCAUUAACAACUAUCAACCCAACCACACAAAGACAGCAAACCUUCAAGGAUCGGUCUGAGGCCACGCCCAUCAGAACUACCACGGGGGUUGCUGUGCUGGAGGCGGGGUCUGAGGAGCUGCAGGAUAACGCCACGGCUGCACUGGCAGGUACAAAGUAUAAGGAGGUGUUUGACAUUGAGAGGAAACAAUCAGAAGAACGAUAAAAAAAAAAACUUAAAAUAAUAAUUUUCCAU
rnacentral:lncRNA from 1 species